rnacentral:rRNA from 1 species
GACGAACGCUGGCGGCGUGCUUAACACAUGCAAGUCGAACGGAAAGGCCCUGCUUUUGUGGGGUGCUCGAGUGGCGAACGGGUGAGUAACACGUGAGUAACCUGCCCUUGACUUUGGGAUAACUUCAGGAAACUGGGGCUAAUACCGGAUAGGAGCUCCUGCUGCAUGGUGGGGGUUGGAAAGUUUCGGCGGUUGGGGAUGGACUCGCGGCUUAUCAGCUUGUUGGUGGGGUAGUGGCUUACCAAGGCUUUGACGGGUAGCCGGCCUGAGAGGGUGACCGGCCCCAAUGGGACUGAGAUACGGGCCAGACUCCUACGGGAGGCAGCAGGGGGGAAUAUUGCACAAUGGGCCGAAGCCUGAUGCCGCCACCCCGCGUUCGGGAAGACGGCCUUCGGGUUGUAAACCGCUUUCGGCUUGUACGAAGCGGGAGUGACGGUAAUUGGUAAAGAAGCACCGGCUAACUACGUG